rnacentral:rRNA from 1 species
UCAGCAGCCCCGGUAAUACGUAGGCAGCAAGCGUUGUUCGGAAUUACUGGGCGUAAAGAGUGUGUAGGCGGUGUCGUAAGUUUGGCGUGAAAUCUCCCGGCUUAACUGGGAGGGUGCGCCGAAGACUGCGAUGCUUGAGGAUUGGAGAGGAAAGUGGAAUUUCUGGUGUAGCGGUGAAAUGCGUAGAUAUCAGAAGGAACACCUGUGGUGUAGACGGCUUUCUGGACAAUUCCUGACGCUGAGACACGAAAGCGUGGGUAGCAAACAGGAUUAGAUACCCUGGUAGUCCACGCCCUAAACGAUGCAUACUUGGUGUGAGCCAUUCACUUGGUUCGUGCCGGAGCUAACGCGUUAAGUAUGCCGCCUGGGGAGUACGGYCGCAAGGCUGAAACUCAAAG